CACAAAAUAGACACACACACUCUCAACACACACACUGAACAAACACACACAAACAUUCUGGACACACACAAACACACACACACACACACACACUGGACAAAAACAUACACACACACACAUACCACACACACACUGGACACACACACACACACACACACACACUGGACACACACACACACACACACACCACACAGACUGGGCACACACACACACACACUGGUCAAACCAAAAAUACACACACACACACACACACACUGGACAAACAAAGUGGACAAACACACACACUGGACACACACACACACACAAACACUGGAUACACAGACACACACACACUGGACACACACACUAGACAAACACACACACACCACACACACACUGGACUCACACACACACACUGGACACACACACACACACUGGACUCACACACACACUGGACACACACACACACACUGGACACACACUGGACACACACACACACACAAACACUGGACACACACCACACACACACACAUACUGGACAACACACACACACACACACUGGACAAACACACACACACACACACUGGACAAACACACACACACUGGACAAACACACACACACACACACACACACUGGACAACACACACACACACACACUGGACAAACACACACACACCACACACACACACACACUGGACAAACACACACACACACACACUGGACAAACACACACACACACACACACACCCACACUGGACACACACACACACACACACACUGGACAAACACACACUGGACAAACACACACACACACACACACACUGGACAAACACACACACACACACACACACUGGACAAACACACCCACACACACACACCCUGUGACAAAAACAAACACACAACCACACACACUGGACACACACACACACACACUGGACACACACACACACCACACUGGACACACACACACACACAUGGGACACACACACACACACUGGACACACACACACACACACUGGACACACACACACACACUGGACAAAACACACACACACACUGGACAAACACACACACACACUGGACAAACACAAACACACCACACCACACACACACACACACCACACACACCACACACACAACACACACCACACACACACACACACCACACACACACACUGGACAAACACACACACACCACACACACACUAGACAAACAAACACACACAGUGGACUCACACCCACACACACACACACUGGACACACACACACACACACACACUGGACUCACACACACUGGACACACACCAAACACACACACACACACACACUGGACAAACACACACACACACACAACUGGACAAACACACACACACACACACACACACACACACACUGGACAAACACCACACACACACACACACACACCUGGACAAACACACACGCUAGACAAACAAAACACACACACACCUGGACUCACACACACACACACACACACACUGGACAACACAACACACACACGACACACACCACACACACACACACACUGGACUCACACACACUGGACACACACACACACACACACACCACACACUGGACACACACACACACACACACACAAACAGGACACAUACACACACAGGACACACUCUCACACACACACAUGCGCAUCUUCCUAUAAUUGUGAGGACCUUGACCCUGACCUCUUACAAUAA
ensembl:lncRNA